GUGCUCACUUCAGCAGCACGUAUACUAAAACUGGAACAAUACAGAGAAGGUUGGCAUGGCCCCUGUGCAAGGAUGACACACAAAUUCAUGGGGCAUUCCAUAUUUUU